GUGAGGAAUAUUGCGCAAUGGAGGCAACUCUGACGCAGCCAUGCCGCGUGCAGGAAGAAGGCGCUACGCGUUGUAAACUGCUUUUAACCGGGAAGAAACCCCAGGACGUGUCCUGGGUUGACGGUACCGGAGGAAUAAGCACCGGCUAACUUCGUGCCAGCAGCCGCGGUAAUACGAAGGGUGCAAGCGUUAUCCGGAUUCAUUGGGUUUAAAGGGUGCGUAGGCGGAGCGUUAAGUCAGUGGUGAAAUCCUGCAGCUUAACUGUAGACUUGCCAUUGAUACUGGCGCUCUUGAGUGCGCUGGAAGUGGGCAGAAUGUGCCGUGUAGCGGUGAAAUGCUUAGAUAUGGCACAGAACACCAAUUGCGAAGGCAGCUCACUAAGGCGAUAAUGACGCUGAGGCACGAAAGCGUGGGGAUCGAACAGGAUUAGAAACCCCGGUAGUCC
rnacentral:rRNA from 1 species